UCCCUGGUGGUCCAGUGGCUAAGACACCAUGCUCCCAGUGCAGGGGGCCCAGGUUCAAUCCCUGGUCAGGGAA